rnacentral:rRNA from 1 species
GACGAACGCUGGCGGCGUGCCUAAUACAUGCAAGUCGAACGCAGUGGGGACGGGUGAGUAACCCGUGGGUAACCUCCCAUCAGAGGGGAUAACACUUGGAAACAGGUGCUAAACCGAUACUGAUGGCUGGGCCCGCGGUGCAUUAGCUAGUGGGGGAGGUAACGGCUCACCAAGGCCACGAUGCAUAGCCGACCUGAGAGGUGGAUCGGCCACACUGGGACUGAGACACGGCCCAGACUCCUACGGGAGGCAGCAGUAGGGAAUCUUGUGCAAUGGACGAAAGGCUGACCGAGCAACGCCGCGUGAUUGAAGAAGGUUUUCGGAUCGUAAAACUCUGUUGUUAGGGAAGCGGUACCUAACCAGAAAGCCACGGCUAACUACGUGCCAGCAGCCGCGGUAAUUC